UACGUAGGGUGCAAGCGUUGUCCGGAAUUAUUGGGCGUAAAGAGCUUGUAGGUGGUUUGUCGCGUCUGCUGUGAAAUUUCGGGGCUCAACCCCGAACUUGCAGUGGGUACGGGCAGACUAGAGUGUGGUAGGGGAGACUGGAAUUCCUGGUGUAGCGGUGAAAUGCGCAGAUAUCGGGAGGAACACCGGUGGCGAAGGCGGUUCUCUGGGCCUUACCUGACGCUGAGGAGCGAAAGCGUGGGGAGCGAACAGG
rnacentral:rRNA from 1 species